rnacentral:rRNA from 1 species
UACGUAGGGUGCAAGCGUUGUCCGGAAUUAUUGGGCGUAAAGAGCUCGUAGGCGGUCUGUUGCGUCGGCUGUGAAAACCCGGGGCUCAACCCCGGGCCUGCAGCCGAUACGGGCAGACUAGAGUUCGGCAGGGGAGACUGGAAUUCCUGGUGUAGCGGUGAAAUGCGCAGAUAUCAGGAGGAACACCGGUGGCGAAGGCGGCCCGCUGGGCAGUGACUGACGCUGAGGCGCGACAGCGUGGGGAGCAAACAGG